rnacentral:rRNA from 1 species
UACGAAGGGGACUAGCGUUGUUCGGAAUCACUGGGCGUAAAGCGCACGUAGGCGGAUGUGUCAGUCAGGGGUGAAAUCCCGGGGCUCAACCUCGGAACUGCCUUUGAUACAGCACGUCUCGAGUCCGGAAGAGGUGGGUGGAAUUCCUAGUGUAGAGGUGAAAUUCGUAGAUAUCGGGAGGAACACCAGUGGCGAAGGCGGCGAUCUGGGAAGAUACUGACGCUGAGGUGCGAAAGCGUGGGGAGCAAACAGG